rnacentral:rRNA from 1 species
AGGGUGUAAACGCUGCGGACUUGGUGUUGGAAGCCCUUUGGGGGCAUUCAGUGCCGGAGAGAAGUUGUUAAGUCUGCUACUUGGGGAGUACGUCCGCAAGGAUGAAACUUAAAGGAAUUGGCGGGGGAGCACCGCAACGGGAGGAGCGUGCGGUUUAAUUGGAUUCAACACCGUAAAACUCACCAGGGAAGACUGUUACAUGAAGGCCGAGAUGAAGACUCUGCUAGAUUUUCAGAGAGGAGGUGCAUGGCGUCAGUGACU